GAUGAACGCUGGCGGCGUGCCUAAUACAUGCAAGUCGAGCGAAUGGAUUAAGAGCUUGCUCUUAUGAAGUUAGCGGCGGACGGGUGAGUAACACGUGGGUAACCUGCCCAUAAGACUGGGAUAACUCCGGGAAACCGGGGCUAAUACCGGAUAAUAUUUUGAACUGCAUGGUUCAAAAUUGAAAGGCGGCUUCGGCUGCCACUUAUGGAUGGACCCGCGUCGCAUUAGCUAGUUGGUGAGGUAACGGCUCACCAAGGCAACGAUGCGUAGCCGCCCUGAGAGGGUGAUCGGCCACACUGGGACUGAGACACGGCCCAGACUCCUACGGGAGGCAGCAGUAGGGAAUCUUCCGCAAUGGACGAAAGUCUGACGGAGCAACGCCGCGUGAGUGAUGAAGGCUUUCGGGUCGUAAAACUCUGUUGUUAGGGAAGAACAAGUGCUAGUUGAAUAAGCUGGCACCUUGACGGUACCUAACCAGAAAGCCACGGCUAACUACGUGCCAGCCGCCGCCGUAA
rnacentral:rRNA from 1 species